rnacentral:rRNA from 1 species
CGUAAGAACCUUACCAGGUCUUGACAUCCCGAUGCUAUUUCUAGAGAUAGAAAGUUACUUGGUACAUCGGUGACAGGUGGUGCAUGGUUGUCGUCAGCUCGUGUCGUGAGAUGUUGGGUUAAGUCCCGCAACGAGCGCAACCCCUAUUGUUAGUUGCCAUCAUUCAGUUGGGCACUCUAGCGAGACUGCCGGUAAUAAACCGGAGGAAGGUGGGGAUGACGUCAAAUCAUCAUGCCCCUUAUGACCUGGGCUACACACGUGCUACAAUGGUUGGUACAACGAGUUGCGAGUCGGUGACGGCGAGCUAAUCUCUUAAAAGCCAAUCUCAGUUCGGAUUGUAGGCUGCAACUCGCCUACAUGAAGUCGGAAUCGCUAGUAAUCGCGGAUCAGCACGCCGCGGUGAAUACGUUCCCGGGCCUU